rnacentral:rRNA from 1 species
AUAUCACUAAGCGGAGGAAAAGAAACUAACAAGGAUUCCCCCAGUAACGGCGAGUGAACAGGGAAUAGCCCAGCACCGAAGCCUGUGGCCAUUUGGUCACCAGGCAAUGUGGUGUUCAGGUCAUCUCGCAGAAGCACUGCCCCGCUGUAAGUCCAGCAAUGAGUAUGGCAAUUUGAACAUGGCCCAGAGAGGGUGAAAGGCCCGUAUGAGUGGGGUGCAGAAACGUCAGUGCUUCUCUGAGUAGACCUUGGAGUCGGGUUGUUUGUGAAUGCAGCCCAAAGUGGGUGGUAAACUCCAUCCAAGGCUAAAUACUUACACGAGUCCGAUAGCAAACAAGUACCGUGAGGGAAAGUUGAAAAGUACUUUGAAGAGAGAGUAAACAGUGCGUGAAACCGCUCAGAGGUAAACAGGUGGAGUUGAACUGCAAGCUCCGAGAAUUUAACUGGUGAGAGUGGCAUAUGCUUGGAUAUGUUGAUUGGCACACGGAGUCUGCUUAGCUGCAGGCCCUGCUUCGGUGGGGUGCGAGAAACCACUUGUCAAGUGCUGUGCGCUCCGAGGGUACAUCGAGUCAACUUGCCAGUGCACUUUCUCAGAGUGAUCACCACGACCGGCGCUGUCGUCUGUCUGCUGAGAUCAAACCGUGAAUACUUCGUUCCCGUAGCGCUGUAGGCACGGGAUGGCAGGUAACUUGCCUGAGCAUGCUUAUGUGAGUGUAAUCGCUGAUCUCAGUGGUACUGUGCGGUGCGCCGGAGACGGCGGUCUGUGGUGCGUACAUGCGCAUUCAGUGGAUGGCGAGUGUGGGCUUGGUUGCCAUGUUGCUUGCAAAUGCAGGCCUGGUGAUAGCUCGUGCUUGUUGGACAUUGAGCUGUGUGUGGGGCACAUUAGCGGGCCAAUAGUCUGUGGUGUAGUGGUAGACGUUCCACCUGA